rnacentral:rRNA from 1 species
UACAUGGGGUGCAAACGUUGCUCGGAAUUACUGGGCGUAAAGGGCGCGUAGGCGGCAUGGCAAGUCAGGAGUGAAAGGCCUGGGCUCAACCGAGGAACUGCUUUUGAUACUGCCAAGCUAGAGUGCGGAAGGGGCAACUGGAAUUCCCAGUGUAGCGGUGAAAUGCGUAGAUAUUGGGAGGAACACCAGUGGCGAAGGCGGCUCACUGGACCGGUACUGACGCUGAUGCGCGAAAGCGUGGGGAGCAAACGGG